UCAAUUUUUUCAAUCGGAUUGCAAAGUCACGUGCAUAAAGGAGCGUAAAUCAACCUCGAAAUAUUUUCAAUGAAAUGCUUUCUGCACGACCUGCAAGUUUAUACCCCAAAGGCGAUUAAAUCUCUCCCCUUUCUUGCGUCGCUUAUACACUUCACUGAUUGUGGCACCAGUUUGAAUCAAACAUGUCUUCAAGUUUGCCUGCAUAUGUAUACAUCCCAUGCUCAAUUACUCCACGAUUUAUCCCAUCCUCUUCGCACACACCUGGACCACCUUCAAUUGCAAACCUGUUCGUACAAAAGAUUUAGCACAGAAUGCGAAAAUUCUGUGGAAGAGUGUAUGCAUGUCGCCAAUUUCGUUGUGCAGUCUGCUCACACCAACAUAUGGUCGGCAAAGAAGGUAACUUUCUACUUACCAGGACAUACAUAUAAUUACGCAUAAAAUGUGAUCAAUUCUGCUCUGGCCUGGAUGAGACUGGAGUUAUCUGCUUAACGCAUAAAUUAUGUAAGUGGAACGUUAUCAAAGUUUCGUAAAAGUGAAAUAAUUACAUUACAAAAAGUUUGUCCUCGUCGCAAUUUGUGUCCUAAGAAAUUUAGAAAGUUAUCAUCUCGGGAAAUUGCUUCGGACAUAUUACGUAUAUAAAAUCGGAAAAUCCCAUUCACUCAAAGUAUAAAAAUGUGCAUAAAAUUGGACAGUUUAUUGUAAAGGUAAAUAUGACAGUCAAAUCUUCGCCAAAUUCUUCCCUUCGGCCGCCUUUAGGGUUCGAGACGGGUAAAUUUAUCCCCCUCCCCAAACAGAAUCUGGCUUACAAUUUGGAAACUGCACUACGAAGUUUUGAUUUCAAAAUAUCAUCCAAAUCACUACCAGGACAAUCAAGAUCUUAGAUAAUUUCGUGAGCGAAGGAUUAUAAUGAAACGUUCGGAUCAUCAUAAUCAAGGUCUCAAUAAUUGGCGAUCCGACUACUUUUAAACCAAUAGACCCACCAACAUAUAAUUCUGCCUGCCAUCACAACCGCAACCCAGCGAAAUAUGGAGGAACGUUCUGCAAUUAUGUACAUAGUUAAGAUAAUUUUGAAAAUAUUAUUUAUAGUUAAAUUUAAAUGUAGUGCGUACAUAUUUUUAAGAGCGCAUUAUUUUGCAUAUUCUCCAUCCUAGUAAUGCAUUUACAUCGAUCGGCAAGUCAGAAAUGAAAGUAUGGCUUUAUAAAGUACUAAUUAUUCUUUCAUUUUUAUUGAUUGCAUCAGGGAACCAAGUAAGGUAUUAUUCGCACAGGGAAAUUUGUGGUCUGAUUAUGCAGAUUUAUUAAUCAGAUUUCCAAAUUUUCACUGUAUUCCAAUCGAUUUCAUCUUAAAGAUGACUAGUUCUUUAACACGUAUUGUGCCUGAUGCCAGAAAGCAUUGGUCAAACUCGUGCUGCAAAGGUGUCAGUUAUGCAGAAAUAUGUCUUCGAUUAUGGGAAAAUAAUAUGUCACAUUUUGAUUGAUUCAUUGAUUUCUUCUCUUCUGUACAUACAUUUGUGUAUAUAAAUUUGAAUCAUAUUUUCAUACAAAGUCUUAACCAACCAGAUAGAGACUACGAUACCAAAAACGUAGUACAAUGCGUAAAAUUAUGGUAAAAAUUUACGUACAAUUAAUAGAAACUUUUGGCUCACCAGAAAUGCAGACAAUUAUGUGAUAAAAGUCAUGGACUUAUUUGAUCUAUACAUACAUGAAGCGACGGUUACACACUUUCGAAAUGUGUAGCAUGGACGUGAUUGACACAUUUGUUCUAUACACAGCACUAUCCAUCUUAUUCUUUACUCUAACCGUAUUAGCGUCACCUCCCAAAAUCAUCUUCAACUGAUCAGUGCUCGAACUUUCAUAAUUAGGCUCAUUCCAUAAUAUUAUUCGCUUAUUUGUUGCUUCCAUAAAUGCAAACUGAUUAAAUCUAUUGGGAUUCCCAAGUUGUCCUCUGUUCCAGUAAUAAUCCAUCACGGCAUCUAUGAAAAAAUUUUUUCCCGCUGAAGGCGGACUAUAAAUUAAGAACGUGUUCAACUUCGGAAUUUUUCUUUCACAGACAUUAAAUAAAUUCCUCACAAAAUCUAUACAAAGUUCGUAAUCAUCAUCAAACUGAUAACGGAGUAAAUUUAAUAAUAUGUCUUUGCUCUCUUCACGUUCAUAAUAACAGUCCUGGAAAUCCAUGUGACCGCAAUGAAACUGGGGCUUACAGAUACUUUGAGAAUAAAAAAAAUUAAAAUCAAAAAUUGACCAACUACAAACUAACGAUUGUCACGCAUCUAUUAACGACUUAACCAUUUUAUCAUCAUCUCUCAUUAACAUAAGUACCGGGUCCUCCAACCAUCCUCUGGUUCGUACAAUAUUUAUCAUAGGGCACGUUGGCCUACUUCUCAUGAGGACUUCCAUCUUUUGAUGGAGUUCAUCUUCCCUUCGUUUUGAAUUCCGGACUGCACGGCGAGCUCUCCGACCCGAUCCAGUAGCUGAUGUACCUCCCCCCCCUGUGGGAAGGUCCACUCGAUUCGCCGGAUCGCAUGCUUCCAGUGGUCCGAUGGUGCCUUCCCCGAAAGGUCGUCCCGCUUGUACAAUUUGAGGUCCAUCUUGAAGUAUUCGUACGGCUCCUCCCACUAUGAGAUUGGCAUUACUUAUAGUUGUCCAACAUACAAUACCCAAUGCCAACCUACCUUUUGCGAAUGUGAGGACUCGCCCACCUGUGCUGAAAUAGAGCAGGACAUUGUACCAGUCUCGGCUUGAAAAUCGGCUGACUGCAGGGCGCACUUGAGGGCUUCUUCGAAGGCAUUCAGCCGCUUCCGUCCCCUGGUAGAAUUUGCAGCGGCAGGACCCGUUGCUGUAGUUACAGGUGUGGACGACAUGAACGUGGUCACCGUGGAGGGAUACGAGGAGGACAUCACCACGGUAUUCUCUAACUUGUCGAAGUAUAAUUCGGCAUAAGCGAGCAGCAUGUUCAGCAUCCCUGGCCGCAAUGACAUCGGACAUAUAACGUUGUCCAGGGCGAGCAGUUGUGCGGCCAAUUGCUCGGAGGAUGUGUCAAUUUAGUGCUUCCAGCUUUGAGGAUCACUGGUCCUUGGGUGGUUUCCUACAGAAUCGAGCGCAUUCCAAAUACCUUUUCUGUUAAAUUUAUAUUUCUCGGAAAAAUGGAUUUGCUUAUCGAUACAUAUCUUCGUCCAGAGUCUUUACAGUUAUCGUAGAACUGCGGUAUGGGUAAUCAAGGUUUCUGAACAAUCUUGACCAUAAGUAUACGAUGAAGCUAGUCUGGUUAAAAUCCCAAAACCGAUACCAAGAGGUGGCUGAGGUAGUUUAUUGAAGCAAGUUGAGAAUUUCCAAGAAGGUUUUCUUAGCAGAAUUUCAGAAUUAUUGGAUAUGAUAGUGUUCAGAGGUAAUGGUGGUAAGGCAAAUGACAGCGAUAGGAGGAGUGGGUGAUUAGCCGUGGGUACCAAUGAAAUGAACUUCUCGAGGGGGUUCAAUUUGCCGACUCCAAAUUUUGAGUGAUUUUGACUAAUGCCACAAGUUCCUGUGUGCUUUCGUCAUACCAAUUUUUGUGUUACAAAGUAUGUAGGUGAACUUCAUUAAACGUUACAUUUAUACAGGAAUCGACCAGCGAGUCCUCUUUUCUGAGGCAGAAAGAGAACAUUACGUUCUGCCUUCUUCAUAUAUUCGUCUUAAACUUCAGACUCUGAAGUUUAAGACUAUCUACUGCCUCGAUUUUACUUAUGAUAGGAAGGUUAGCAUCUCUUGACAAUAUGCAAAUUAAUGCAAGAAUAUCCGCCGGGACAAUAAAACGCAGUGGGAAUAAUAAGUGAGCAGACGCAAGUGCGAAUUUCAAGUUCCAAGUGCGAAUUCGUAUAGAUAAAAAAUUUUAUUAUAAUCUCGAAUGCUCCCAUCUCUCAGAACGGUUGUAACGAGUUCCGAAUCAAGACACUUCAGCUUGGAUAACAGCUCGAAAACCGUUUCCGGCAACAUUCCAGGAAGGUAGACCUUUUCAAUUUCUCCAGGGCGUCAACUUAAAACCGUAUUAAUCCACACAAGUACAACAACACCUAUGAUAUGGCAGGCGGCCCUCUAAGCACUAGGUAUAAUUGAUAAUUUGGGUGAUAGCAGAAAAUAAAGACAUGGCUAUUCAAACUUUAAAUAUAAAUGAUGCAGCACAGCAAUUGUGGAGUAUUGAAAUAGGAUCCACCUCGUCGUAAACUUCUUCUAUAUUUGCAGAAAAAUCUGCCAGCUUGAAGGCAGAUAGGUUCCUAUUGGUAGAAUCAGCAUCUCCACACAGUCUGAGCGUGAGUUUUUUCUAGAAGAAAACAAAAAACAUUGCUUUCUCUAGGUGUUAGAACAGCCGGGCCUGUGUAACAAUAAGUGCGCAUUAUUAUUCCCAAUAUGUCGUUGCAGCAUUAUUUCCAAUACAGAAUUCUGUAAUUAAUAAAAUUUCAAAUGCCGGUCUCUACGUAUGAGUAUCUACUCCCCACAAACCUCAUCUUCACGCUACAACUUUCUCUGAAGUAAUGUAAACUUCGAAAGUCUUGUAGCAGGUUACUUUUAAAUUUCGCAAUUGUAACUGCGAAAUACGAGCGAAAUUGCACUUACUCCAAUUGAAUUAGCCACCCUUUGGAAGUCACGAAUAUUUGUACACGGCCUACCCUCCCACUGAUCACCGGACGCAAAAAUGGGAUUACAAUGGCAAUUAUCUCAUAAACAAUGACAAUUAAGAACAGACUCACCUAGGUUCCAUAGAAGUUCGAUCAGGUUAUCUUCAGCGCUGCAAGUUCCGUUGCUUGGCUUUAUCUGUGGAAAUGGUAUGGUUGGUAGGCCGAUGGCGAAGGUCAAUAAAGGAAUGAAUUAAUUUAGUGAUAUGAACGCUUACUUGACGAUAAGUGGGUACCUAUUAGAGGGAUUAUUUGUAUGAAUACUGUAUAAUUGAUACUAUAUAAUGCUGCAUAAUGCAUUAUAUAAAACAUUGUUUUUCACGAUCGAAUGAUUUUUAGUGAUAAAAUCAAUGGUAACUGAUUUUUCAUAAGUCAUUUAAUCGGGUCUUGGACGUCUGUUACAAUCAACUCUUAAAUUUCGGUUAGAUUUCCAGCCAAACAUGGCUUCCAAUACUUUCCCCAUAUUUGAGUUGUUUUGGGCUCCGCAAUAUGUAUGUUCUUCGAUGUCAGUCUUAUUUCAUUGCUCUUCAUAGAACGUACAUUUUGGGAAUGACAUUAUUCUGAAUGACUAAAUAUGAAAUCAAUCAAUCAAUCAACUUCAUGACAUUUUGACCUCUGCAUCAAGCUCUUGUAUCGAAAGAUUCAAAUCGUAAAUUUUAGAAGUAUACAAUCUAAACGAAGAUAUGUAUUCAUGUACAUAUUAGUCAUUAACUUCUAAAAAUAAUGCUAUACACAUUCUUCGUUUAGCAGUAAAUUGUUUCAGAGUUAUAUAUACAUUACGUAAACUAUCUGUUUAUAGUGCCGUCCUUCGUAUAAUUUAAUGAAUACAAUUGUAUUAAAAUCCAAUAAUAAUUUAUCUUUUAAAAAAUGUAUUGUCUAGGUUAAACGACGGACGAUAAUUUUUAAACUUGUACCCAGUUAUUACGCAUCUAAAUUAUGACAUGUAUGUAUGUACAUACUUAUUUAGAUAAGUUUUAAUAAAUAAAAUACAUAUCCAAUUAAAUAAUUAUCUCCCUAUUAAUAAAUAAUCUACGCGUUUGUGGAUACAAAUUUUUGACAAGGCGUGUCUAUAAAUGAUUCACCUCUAUUUAAUUAAUUGGAUAAGGAAGAGUCAUAAUUUGCUUUCUCUGUUUAACAAUGACAAUGGUAACGCAAUUAAUUAAUGAAUUAUUUAUGUAUGGUAAGUCAUAUGCAAAAUGUGCAUGAAUUUGCCAACUACAAUUCUGUAAUAGGCAAAACUUAUACAUAAAUUUACAUAAAUAUGGUAAUAUGCAGAUAUGUGUACAUUUUUGGGCAAAUUUGGUAACACUAAAAUUGUAUCAUUACAGAGCAAUUUUUAACACGUUUUGAUCCGGGCAUGAAUAAAUAUAGUCUAAAAAAUCCGGUAGCAAAGCUACUCCUAAACUUUAAUUACUAUAGUGUAUCUAACCCCAUGAUGAGAACUUAUUACCGAACUGAUAAUAAAUACAUCCAUAAGUUCAGGCAGGGAUUAAAAAAAACUUCCAGAGGAAGACUCAAAUUUACUACCAUGGCGGUAGAGCAUUCAAGUAGACCUUGUAGUGGGUGUUAUCAAAUUAUUUAGUGCGAAUGUAAUUACACUGUAAAUAAUCUGGUAAUAAACAUUACCGAAAAGCACGACUAUAUGACUCUACCAAAGUGGUAAUGAUAAGUUUUACCAUGUGGUAGUGGCUUGGUAACAAAGUUUUACCAUCAUGGUGACCAAUUUUUACUACCUGGUAAAAUAUUAUUACCAAAUUUAUUACCGAGAAAUCAUUACCUGCGUGACUUUACCGGAUUAUUAAGAGUGUACAUAUUGGAAAAAUUCAUAACUAUGGAUGUGCUUAAGGUUUGUAAAUUUACACAGUCUUGACGCUAAUCAAUUUAUCGUAAAAUGUUUCGAAAAUUGUAGAUAUUUAACCUCAAAGUGCUAAAAAUCAAUGCAUAUUUACCAAAUUUUGUUACCGAACCAAGAACAUUAACACGUUUAUUAAAAGUUCCUAGGUCAAACUUCCUUUCAAAUGUGUUUAAAAGCCAUAACAAGUUUGGAAACUUACAAAUCUUACGCAGUGACGAAUGGUAUAAACAUUGACGUGAGUUCCCCCAUUUAUUGUCAGGACAAAAAAAUGGUCCACCCUUAUUAUUAAAACAUCGUCCUUCAUCUUAAGCGAAGAUUAAUCUUUCCAACAAACAUACAUAACUAAAUCUCGCUUACAUACGUAAAUAAUUUCCUUUGCAGCUGCAGCUUACACAUUUCUCAUACUUAAAUAUUCUUGCCACGCAUUAUUUUUUAAUCAGUACCGAGCCGAGGUCCCUGCAUGAUGGAUGCCUACAAAAGAUCGGGGCAAAUCAGAUCAUUGUUCUCACCUAAUUUGCUUUAAGCAUAACAAGACAGUGUAAACUCUCUACAAAAUUUUCCAGUGACAUUCUUUCAGCACGUAGCUCAAGUUUUUACGAUCAAGGAGAAUACGUAACUCUCCACAUUUCUUUUCUUUUGUCGUUUAAUGGGAACGUAAAUAUACUACGUCAUCAUUUUAGUGGGUGGGUGCAAACGGUAUUCUUAUCUUUUCCAUGGGAAAAGUUCCUACUCCUUAAUGUUAACGUUGGAUGAGGGGGUGGAUCGUAAAAUCGAGAGUUUUUGAUGACGAUAUAUAUGGAUGGUCCCUUUCAUAUCUGGAAAUACAGACAUGCAAGUCAUUGACAGUGUUGGACCGUGCAGAAAGCAAGGGGUCGAAACACCAGGACAUGAAAAUGCAGGAUUGAAUGUUUAUAGCGUGAAUUAAGAAUUAAUCACAUCCUUUCCGCACCGUCCUAAGCCUUUACUUGAAUAUUAAACCUGUCAUAUUGCAUUGCAUUUAGCACAUAGAAUAAAGCCUGUGGUAGAGUCUAACCAAUUUCUAGGUGUGUUUUCCUCAUACAUCUGGUUACUAAAUAAAUAAGCUUGAUAGACUGAGUUUCUAUUUAAAUAUGUACGAGUACAAUAUUUUAGACACUUUAAAAUGUAAAUUUAUUAAGUAUAAUGUGAUAAAUUGCAGUUUUAAUAUUUUCAUAGGGACAAAAUGAGGUUCAAUUCGGACAUUUCUCAUCUUUGGACCAAUUCACAAGUGGAAAUAUGUAGCUCCCUAAACACAUCCGAAAAUAUUAAACCCGUCAAUUCCAACUGAAUAUGGAAUUUAGACAUGCCGGACUAAAAUUAUAAGCUGACGGUUUGAACCAGUGGCGUCCAGACACUUUUCUGAAGAACAGGACAUGCCCUUCAAGAACCACCCAACAAAAAAUGGAGGAACAUUCCCAAAUUAGCUAAGCUACAUAACUUUUAAAAUAUAAUUUUAGCUAAACUUAUUUAGAUGAAGUAUUUUUAUGGUCACAAUCGCUUGCAUAAGUAGUCAUGUUCGUAAUAAUUCUAAUUGACAAUUUCAAUUUGACAUUCUUUUUUAAAUUCUGAAGGACGCUUAAUAGAAAUUUUUAGAUUUCGUUGUUUGACUACUAUAAUUUGAUUUUUUAAUGAUUUGGCUGGAACUAAAAAUGAUUAUAGACCGUUUCAAAAUAAUGUAACUCAAAAAAUCACAAAAAUCAAAUUUUGAAAAAUUUCUGGACCCAGUCCCCUUUAACAUGUGUCACAUGGGUACUGUAACGAAUAUUGUUGAAUUAUAAUGGGAAGAGAGGAUGAUGUGAAAUUGAUAUGUUCCCUCUUAUAUGUACUUAUGUCCCUAUUCGCGACCUAAUUCUAACUUCCUGGAGGAAAGUUAUCCCGACUUUUCGGUGAAGAGCAGUUAAAUGAUAACGGCAACACAAAGGGGGGCUCUCUUAAAUAACUAAUAUUUAUUUUAAAGCUGGAAUAUGAAUUAUUUUACACGCUAUAAAAAUAAUUAAAGAAGAAGAACCCUAAAAUAAAGAUGUUGCUCAUAAGGAGUUAUUAGACUGAAUAAUCUUUCCUAAGAGAGAAAAAGAAGGAGGAAAAGAAAGCUGAGACGAGAGCAAGGUUGCCUCGUUCUUCCCGAGUGGGAGAAAGAUCUUCCGGCUAUUGCCAGAUGGCAGAAGGGAUAGAUUUCUCCCCGGGUGGGUCGGAUUGAGACCCGUAUCCAGUGGUACGGGUUACACGCCACCACUAAAGGGGACCUAACGGACCAUAAGGGUAGGAAAGGUUCCAACGUUUGUACAAUUAAUUUUAAAGAAAGGUAGAUAAAAAAAACCCAUAAUUAAUUGUGCAUAUUGACAACUAAACAAAAAGAUGGUGAUUGUA